UACUUAAACAGUGCAGUUUAUUAAAGCAACAGAUACAGGUUCUUAUGGAUUGCCCGUGAUAAAUACACUGUCUGCAAAAGCACGUGCAAAUAAUAAGGUAUACAACCACGCAACAAAGUUAUGAAUAAUACAGCCUGGCUUUAAAGUAUAAAAGUAAAAAGUAAAUCUAUAUAGAGAUUCCUAAUUUUCCCGGGGAAGCACUGGAUACAGUGCAAGUCUUACCCAAAGGCGUCCCUAUGGGGGGGAAGAAAGGUCCAGCCCGUCGACCGGUCCCAGGAGUUGAGAGUAGUCAGCUGAUGGGGUUUUCCUCGGCUCGUCCACGAUGAUGUCUUCCCUAAAGCCCCCCACUUUUUGGGUCAUUUUAAUAGUAUUUUUCGCUUUCAAGGUGGAGCUUGAGUGAUUCUAGUCAUACAUACCUUUAUUGUUAUUGGUGUAAAUUUUCCUCGCUUAGCUUUUAAAGGUAUAUGCCACAAAAAUUCAACGAGCAUGCUCAAAGAGGGGUGGUCUCACUUUGGAGGCGGGUAGCAUUGGAGGUGGAGGUGUGUUUUCGUAUUAAAAUGCAUUAUAAUGAAGCAAAGUUCGCACAAAGGACAGCAUUUUGUCAAAAGAUGACAGGCCGUUGGCUCAGGGCAGCAAGCAUGCAGCUUAUCAGUUUUAAGUACCACCUAGUUCCCAUCUCUGCUGGUGUUGGCACAGAGUUUGGCCGCAGAAUCUCCACUCUGCUCCAUCCUCCGUCAAUCAAUGUUGCCACAGGAACCGCUGUGGAGUGAAUUCCUGGCAUACCACAUGCAACUGCAUCUUACCCUGAAAGUCCGUUUUUCCUUUAUGUGUGAGCAAUGCUACAUUUUUAAAUAUAAGUUUAAUUUCUAAAUCAUAUUCAGUAAUUAUCCCACAUAUUCCACCCCGUGACUACAGUCACUCAAGUUUCACGAUACUUAGAGGGAAUUGGGAAUAUCCCAUAUACUCUUUGAGUGAGGGUUGUCGAGGACAUAUAUAUCUUGUGGGGAUAUCAAAUGAGUUAAGCGUUUCAUCAUAAUCCAAAGCCUAACAUAUAAAGCAAUUGUCAAAGCAAAACAUAAUAUAGUGAGCAUUAGCAAGAUCACAACAGGGUGGAGCAUCCUGUUGAGAAUCCCUGUGGCAGUUGGUGACCAUCCAAAAAGAGUGUCCCACCAUUCAUGUCUUCCAUCUUUCUUGACUCUUUCUAGCACUUGAUGGACUUCUUCCGCAUCAUGGUGGACGGUAAUUAGAGUCUUUUGUCCACUCUCUUUGGCCUGGAUCAACAACUGCUUCAAGUCAUCAUGGUGUAGCAGCUUUUUCACUAACUUAAGGUUCAUUCCGAUAGGAGCGAGUAGUAGAUCAUUAGUCAGUGUAUAGUCAGAUUGCAGCAAUUGAUGAGAUGUGACAGGAGCUGAAUAAUUAAAGUCGCAUCCAAUAAUGUUAGUAAAGUUACAAACACAAAGGUUCGAGUGGUUAUUUAUACCUAUAACAGUGUCAUCUAUCAGUACAGAAUUACAAAGAGUUCUCAUACAAGCACAUCCUUUUCCAACAUAUAUAAGCACAGAUUUUUGAAUUUCAUUGGGAUGUAUUUCAAAAUGACAAACAUUUUGUUCAGUGUCAAGACAAAUGUCUUGCGCUUUAAUGGUAUUACUCUCACAAAUAAAUCCUUGUUGGCUUCAUGUCAUGCAUGCAUCAACAUCAACAGUUUGCCAUUUAUUUUCGUAUUGUGCCCAUACUCUAUGUUCUAUUGGAUAGAGUAUAGUCCCGUGGUGAUUCAACCCCAGCGCAAUGAUUGGGUAUAUAGUGUAUACCAAAGCAUUGUGUAUCGUUAAGACAAAAGCAGUGACUUUACUCUCAGUGGGAUCGUAAGUGAAGUUAACCAGGUACCACCAAGACUGAAAUUUCCUCUCAAAUUCAAUUGCAUUAUCCCAUAUUAUUUUCCGAAUUUCAGUGGGCAAGGUGCCUUCUUCACCUUCCCUUAUAAUUGCAGCUGUCAUUGAUUGCAUCCACAGUUGGGCUUGGAUACAACUGAGAGCUAGAGAAACAUUGUCUUGGGCUACACCAAGUGCAUUUAUGAUCAGUUGGUGGUCUUUUUCACUCGUUUCUUCCCAUUGAGGUAAUAUAUUCGAUAAAAGCCAUUGGUGAUUUCCCAAAGCUAGAAGAGAGGACCGCAAAGGGUAUUUCAACUUGUUUAGAUCACUGGUCGUUGUGACUAGUUUAUUGGCAAGUACUUCAGCGUCUAUGCUAUUUAAGACUCCUAGUCCAGUUCCUAAGAUACCGGUCACGUCUCUCUUUGGUUGUCUUGAGGGGGUGAGGUUUUGUCCAUUUAACCAUGCUGACCACCCUGCAUAAGAUGUACCCAGGAAUGGUGAGCAGGUGGGUUUGAUUACAGAGAUGUUAAUCUGCAUUGAUAGUUCCACUUGCUUGAGGGAAUAUGAUGGGUUAAACAAUAUUUGUUGUUGACAAGUAUUUUUGGUGACAUAAGGACCAAUAUUGAAAAUGUAAGGAGUUAGACUAAUAGGAGGCCGAGUAGAUAUACUCUCAAAAAUUGGUUAGGGUGUGGGUUCCAUGUCUUCUACAUUUGGCACAGAGGCUGUUGUCAUGGUGUUAAUCUUGAAUUUAAAGGAUAAUCCUAUGCUGUUUUGUGCCCAGAGGCAGACCACAAAGACUGGUUGGACCAAAGUAAAAUUGGACCAACAGUCCCAUUGCUCCUCAGCACAGGUUUUUAUUUGUUUCUCC
rnacentral:lncRNA from 1 species